GACGUAGGGCGCGAGCGUUGUCCGGAUUUAUUGGGCGUAAAGAGCUCGUAGGCGGCUUGUUGCGUCGACCGUGAAAACCCGCGGCUUAACUGCGGGCUUGCAGUUGAUACGGGCAGGCUAGAGUUCGGUAGGGGAGACUGGAAUUCCUGGUGUAGCGGUGAAAUGCGCAGAUAUCAGGAAGAACACCCGUGGCGAAGGCGGCUUUCUGGGACGGUACUGACGCUGAGACGCGAAAGCGUGGGGAGCGAACAGG
rnacentral:rRNA from 1 species